GUUCCAGCUGGCUGAGGAUAUGAGCAUCUUUAUCACCAAGUUACAGCCAGCAGUGGGGAAUGCUGGUGAGAAAGGAAAGGAAGAGGGGAGUUCAUUCAAAAUGGGGAGGAACAAGACAGGGAACUGAGAUACAGACUGAUGGGGUGACUUGCCCAGAAUCAAACCAGAAGUCCGUGACAGAGUUGGGAAUUUCAACCAGUUCUCCUCAGUCCCUGCAGGAAUAUAUGGCUGAUGUAUCCUACUUUUUCUGUGAUGUUAAGGCAUGAAAUGGGAAGUGAAUAUGAAUGGAAGCAAGAGAAUUGAUGGGCCUGGAUAUAAUCAGGGAAACAAAGGUGGACAUUGGAGGCUCGCUUUGCCUAUAGAAAAACUGAUCACACAGCAAGCAGCUUUAAUUUAUGUAAAUUGUAUUCAGACAUAUAGUCCCAUACUACCAGCAACAGUAUUACUGCAUUCCCAUCUACAUCUAGCUAGCUCAUCUAUCUGUCUACAUGGUAAUAUGACUCUCAUCACCAUGGUAUCUGAUUUAUGGGGCCAAAUUAAUCCCUUGCUUAACUCCAUCUCUAUAAUUCCAAUUUGUUGAGUUAGAUGUGGAGCUAAGUGAAUAUGUAGCCAAACUGAAAAAUCAGACAAAAUUUUCAUUUUGGGUCCACUCAAAAUAGUAUUUUUUGUUUGUUUUCUCAUCAAAAUAGCAAUGAAAUUUUAUGUCAGGUCAAAUGAAAUAUUUAGUUAUUCCAAAAACUAUUUUUGCCAGGGUUUUUUUGUUUCAUUCUUAGGUGUUUUUUAAUCUGUUUGAAAUAAAUCUUGAUAAAUUGCAAAACAAAACGUCAUUUUGAAAAGAGAAGUUGACAUACUGAAAUGUUUCUUUUGCUAUUUCCGUAUACAUAGAGGCCUAAAUGGUAUUUUCCAGUGAAUAAACCUUGUGUCCAAAAAUUUUUGCCCGACUCUAGUUAGGUGCAGAAAUCAAUGGGUAAAAAUCUCUGGGCUGUGUUAUUCUGGAGGGCCGACUGGA